rnacentral:rRNA from 1 species
AGUGAGGAAUAUUGGUCAAUGGGUGCAAGCCUGAACCAGCCAUCCCGCGUGAAGGACGACUGCCCUAUGGGUUGUAAACUUCUUUUGUAUAGGGAUAAACCUGCCCUCGUGAGGGUAGCUGAAGGUACUAUACGAAUAAGCACCGGCUAACUCCGUGCCAGCAGCCGCGGUAAUACGGAGGGUGCAAGCGUUAUCCGGAUUUAUUGGGUUUAAAGGGUCCGUAGGCGGACUUAUAAGUCAGUGGUGAAAGCCUGUCGCUUAACGAUAGAACUGCCAUUGNUACUGUAAGUCUUGAGUAUAUUUGAGGUAGCUGGAAUAAGUAGUGUAGCGGUGAAAUGCAUAGAUAUUACUUAGAACACCAAUUGCGAAGGCAGGUUACCAAGAUAUAACUGACGCUGAGGGACGAAAGCGUGGGGAGCGAACA